GACGAACGCUGGCGGCGGGCUUAACACAUGCAAGUCGAACGGAAAGGCCCUGCUUUUGUGGGGUGCUCGAGUGGCGAACGGGUGAGUAACACGUGAGUAACCUGCCCUUGACUUUGGGAUAACUUAAGGAAACUGGGGCUAAUACCGGAUAGGAGAUCCUGCUGCAUGGUGGGGGUUGGAAAGUUUCUGCGGUAGGGGAUGGACUCGCGGCUUAUGAGCUUGUUGGUGGGGUAGUGGCUUACCAAGGCUUUGACGGGUAGCCGGCCUGAGAGGGUGACCGGCCACAUUGGUACUGAGAGACGGCCCAGACUCCUACGGGAGGCAGCAGUGGGGAAUAUUGCACAAUGGGCGCAAGCCUGAUGCAGCAACGCCGCGUGCGGGAUGACGGCCUUCGGGUUGUAAACCGCUUUCGCCUGUGACGAAGCGUGAGUGACGGUAAUGGGUAAAGAAGCACCGGCUAACUACGUG
rnacentral:rRNA from 1 species